rnacentral:sRNA from 1 species
UAAAAUUGCAUUAAAACUACUUUAAAAUUACUUUAUUAUAAUAAUGUCCGUAUCCUGUUUAACGUCAGUCUGACAUUUACGAAAAUUACCCAUGAUUUUAUUGUCGAUCGGUCGGUUUGCAACGAUUGCGGCCUCCAUAGCUUAUGUCCAAUAUUUACAUGUUUUAAACAAUUGUAAUGGCGAUUCCGCGAAAACCCUCGAGGCGAUAAGGCGAAUUAUGGCAUUAUCAGGUAAAUUACGGUGCUGUCUGUUCUUGUAAUUAGCAGUUUUUAUAUUUGUAAAUUAAAAUUGCAAUAAACGAAUAUAAUUUUCUCUGUUUUUUCAAAAUAUACCAAAAGAAAAAGCGGCCAGGUUCCAGCCAGUUCGCUCCAUCGUUUUGCCACCCGUUUGCGUUCGAUUAGGGUUUGCCGGGGUAAUACCACGUCCUAAACAUUUAUAUAUAUAUCGAGUAUAAUAUUUGCGUUUCGAUAGCCAUUUCGACGGUGAAGAUGGCCGUUUUGUUUUUUUAUAGCAAUACGGGCUUCCAAUAUAUCCAACAUUCGAGCCAGAUACGUUUGCGCAAAUUUGGACAGUAGUCUAUUAUCCCCAUUUGCAAUUACAGCAUCCAAGACUUUCAAAACGCUGAAAACCCUUGGAUUUGAACUGGGAAUCUUACACGAUAACCUUGUCUGACCGAGGAGGAUAAACCAGGGUUCGAUUACAGAUUCGAGCUUUUAUAUAAAGAGAACCAUUGAAUUUUAAUGGAUAAGGCGAGCACAAAAUUCAUAUAUACCCUUGAUACGCAUGUUAUAUUCGGCUCGCUUCUUUCCAAACCUUUAACUGAUUGGGUGCUGUUUGCAAAUAUUUGAAAACAUGGCUGGGGAACGAUGUUUUGAUAAAUUUACACAAAUAUAAUUCGUAGCAGCAGCUGAUGUGUUUACCGUUAUCGUGUCGAUUUCUGUUUGGCAAAAAAGCUGUUUUUAUACCGGAAGUACCCUGAAACCAGGCUUUCGAAAAAAGCUUCACAGCCCAUAGCCUGGAUUCUGGUUUUUAAAGUCUAAUUAAAUUUUGAAAUUCUCAACGGGCUAAAAGUUGCACUUUUGAAUAGAUACGGGUAAUAAAAUGUUCCAUUUUCUAUUAUAUAGCUUUUUUGAGGGUAAAUUGCGUCGGACUCGAUUUAAAUAAAGAUUUUAAGGUUAUGUGAUCGAUUAUACGUUCCCUUGCUUUUUUACGGGCAUCCAUAGUACGGCCCACAAAAACAACCGUUUCGGUUAACUAAUAUACCAUAUUCCGAGGGUAUUUAUCAAUUUGUACAGUACGAUAAUUCCCGAAUUUAGUACUAGUUUUUAGCAGAAAAGAAUUCGCUGCGUAGUAGGUGUUCGAAGCUGGCACAGGCAAUUGAAGAUCCAUAUAUAACGAUAUAGAAAAUUUGUUUUGGCUGAUGUUUUACUGUUGUACCCAAUUACCGUAAAUUUCAAUUACGGUAGCCAAGCUUUUUUUAAAUCCAGAAAAACCAGAACAAAAAGCAGCGCCAUUAUUAUCCAGGUUAUACACGCUAUUAGAAGCAAUAGGCCAAUUAAAUCACCUCCACCAAUAAUAACUGUAACUCCUUUGUUAGUAUCCUGGGUGGGUAGGUUUUUGCAAUUAAAAUAUAGCCGCUAAUUUACUGCAUCGAUGGGAAUUUACAGAAGUCCAUUAAUAAUAUUGUCCUUUAAUAUCACCGUUAAGGGCGUUGUUUUUAUAGGUUUCGUAGGACUCCAUAUUGGAGAAAUUAAACAUUGUUAUUUUAAUUAAAAGUUUUUAAAAAAAUGUGCCAGAAAAUAGUUAAUAAUACAGUUUGUUUUGCUAUAAAUAUAAUUUUAGUAAUAGUAUAUGGGAGUUAUAAAAAACGAUACCUCCUGUGCGAAUUUCCUCCUAUUGGAGUUUAUAUAAUAUGCGUGGUUAAAUCCGGUGUCCAGGAUAUAGGGCAACGACCAGGAUUAUGGUAUUAUAAACCCUGCACAGGUUGUUUUAUAUUCGAACAAUAAGAAUAAGCCCAAUAUUUAAACUAUACGGCUGAGCCCAGUGUUUAAAUCCUAUGGUUGAACCCAGUGUUUAAACUAUGCGGCUGAGCCCAGUAUUUAAAUUAUGCAAUGUUAGCCUAAUGUUUAUAUGGUUGAACCCAAUGUUCAAACUAUGCGGCUAAACCCAGUAUUUAAGCUAUAUAAUUAAACCCAGUGUUCAAAUUUUGCGGCUGAGCCCAGGGUUCAAACCAUGUGGUUGAACCCAAUAUCCAGGGUACAGGAUGCAAAACUACCAAAAUCCGGCCGAGUAACAAAAACCAGUAGCUAACUCAUCACUUUAGCAAAGCUUGUACGCACCUACAAACACUGUAAACCCCACCGUCCACGGUUAUUAUUAAGCAAUUAAUUCUUGGAAUUUACUGCGAGCCUAUUUGGCCCCUUGAACCCGGUUUUGGGACGUUUAAAACUAGGUUAAAUAAAUGUAGGUGGUGAUAUGGUGGGAUAUUGUAAAAUAUCGCCAUAACCCAUAACUUCACCAAUUUUUGCCAUUGCUGCCAUUAUUACGUUAGUUAGGUUUGGAUGGGAGCUUUCGAGAUUAAUCAAACGAAGAAAAUUCGAUAAAAAGUUAAAAAGUGUAUUUUACAGCCUUGGUAAAGCCCGCAGAUUUAUAAGAAAUAAGGAGUAUAAAUACUGGCGCGAGAAAUAUAAGCGCGCAAAUUUUAAAUAUGACCGUAAAUGUGGCCUCAAUUUCCUAUUUUGCUAUUUUUGUUAAUACCGAGAAAUUGUGGAGUUGAAGCAAAUAAAGAUUUUCGUGAAGAUUUUGCUCCAGAACGCACAGUAAACCUACGAUAAUCUCCCAUAUUAAAAGGGAUUAGACCAGUUAUGCAGUGCAGGGAAUUUUGUUGGGGUUUCGCAUAAUUGCCAUUUUAUCCUAAAUGUUCGAAAAAUAUGUGCAUUAAUUUUGCGGAAGUAAAGAUUAUGUGGAAACCCUAUUCCUUUUAACAUUGGAGCAAGUUUAGGAAACAAUUACUGGACAGGGGGCUUCUAAUGGCAAAUAGCGUAAUUAUUUAGAAAAACAAAUUUAUUUCGGGUGUCAAGUUACGGUUGCGAGGAUAUAUAGUCUCAUUCUGUAAUUUUACGAUAGUUCCGAUAUCAAUUGCUAAAUGGUUGUGAAAAAAAUACGCACUAAUAAAACAAAAGAGCCGAAAGCACAAAUCUAAGAACAAAAAAGAAACAAACCUAUACCACCUUAUUUUUUCCCCUUUUUUUGUUAUUUCUAUUGUUUCCUUAACUUCUUAUUUUGUAU